rnacentral:rRNA from 1 species
CGCUCCUUGCAAAAAUAUUGAUGAAUAAGGAGUUCUGCCUGCCCAGUGACGUAGUUAAACGGCCGCGGUAUUUUGACCGUGCAAAGGUAGCAUAAUCAUUUGCCUCUUAAAUAGAGGCUGGUAUGAAUGGCAAGACGAAGGUUAAGCUGUCUCUUUCUUAGUGCUUGAAUUUAAUAUUUUUGUGAAGAAGCAGAAAUUAAUUCGUAGGACGAGAAGACCCUAUCGAGCUUUAGUGAAAUUAAUAGUGGCUGGUUAAUACAAUAAGUCUAAUAAAGUUAAUUAUAACUAAGAAGUUUUAACCUAUUGUUUGUGGCCAUCUAAUAACUUAACUUUGAUUGGGGCAAUCGCGGAGUAAAAAAAACCUCCGUUAAUAAAGUUAAAAAAUUACUAUUUUAUGAAAAGUGAUCCGCUAUAUAGCGAGCAAAGGAAUAAGUUACCGUAGGGAUAACAGCGUAAUUUUUUUGGAGAGUUCAUAUUGAUAAAAAAGUUUGCGACCUCGAUGUUGGAUCGAGAUUUCCUAGAGAUGCAGCAGUUUCUAAGGGUUGGUCUGUUCGACCAUUAAAAUCUU